UCCUACGGGAGGCAGCAGUAGGGAAUCUUCCGCAAUGGACGAAAGUCUGACGGAGCAACGCCGCGUGAGUGAUGAAGGUUUUCGGAUCGUAAAACUCUGUUGUUAGGGAAGAACAAGUUGGGUAGUAACUGACCCGACCUUGACGGUACCUAACCAGAAAGCCACGGCUAACUACGUGCCAGCAGCCGCGGUAAUACGUAGGUGGCAAGCGUUGUCCGGAAUUAUUGGGCGUAAAGCGCUCGCAGGCGGUCUUUUAAGUCUGAUGUGAAAGCCCACGGCUUAACCGUGGAGGGUCAUUGGAAACUGGAGGACUUGAGUACAGAAGAGGAGAGUGGAAUUCCACGUGUAGCGGUGAAAUGCGUAGAGAUGUGGAGGAACACCAGUGGCGAAGGCGACUCUCUGGUCUGUAACUGACGCUGAGGAGCGAAAGCGUGGGUAGCGAACAGGAUUAGAUACCCUGGUAGUCCACGCCGUAAACGAUGAGUGCUAGGUGUUAGGGGGUUUCCGCCCCUUAGUGCUGAAGUUAACGCAUUAAGCACUCCGCCUGGGGAGUACGGCCGCAAGGCUGAAACUCAAAAGAAUU
rnacentral:rRNA from 1 species